UACAGAGGAGCCAAGCGUUGUCCGGAUUGACUGGGCGUAAAGCGCACGCAGGCGGUCGCGCGCGUGGGGUGUGAAAUCUGGCCGCUUAACGGCCAGGCGCCAUCCCAUACGGCGCAACUGGAGGGCUGCAGAGGUCGAUGGAAUUGCCGGUGUAGUGGUGAAAUGCGUAGAUAUCUGGAGGAACACCGGUGGCGAAGGCGGCAUCCUGGACCAAUACUGACGCUGAGGUGCGAAAGCGUGGGGAGCAAACAGG
rnacentral:rRNA from 1 species